AUCGAACGCUGGCGGCAGGCCUAACACAUGCAAGUCGAACGAGUGGCGGACGGGUGAGUAAUGUCUGGGCAACUGCCCGAUGGAGGGGGAUAACUACUGGAAACGGUCGCUAAUUCCGCAUACUCUCUGCUUUGUCCAGAUGGGAUUCGCUAGUUGGUGGGGUAACGGCUCACCAAGGCGACGAUACCUAGCUGGUCUGAGAGGAUGACCAGCCAAACGGGAACUGGAAAACGGUCCGGAAGCCUAGGGAGGGGAGCAGUGGGGAAUAUUGCAAAAGGGGCGCAAGCUGGAUGCAGCCAUGCCGGGUGUAUGAGGAAGGCCUUAGGGUUGAAAAUUACUUUCAGCGGGGAGGCGUUACCGGAAUAAGAAGCAACGGCUAACUACGUGCCAGCAGCCGCGGUAAUAC
rnacentral:rRNA from 1 species